rnacentral:sRNA from 1 species
GCUGGGCAUGGUGGUGAAUACCUGUAAUCCCAACGGCUUGGGAGGCUGAGGCAGGAGGAUUGCAAGUUCAAAGCCAGCUUAAGCAACUUAGCAAACCCCUGUCUCAA